ACACCCGUUCCCAUUCCGAACACGGAAGUUAAGCCUGCCAGCGCCGAUGGUACUUGGGUGGAGACGCCCUGGGAGAGUAGGACGCCGCCGGAU
rnacentral:rRNA from 1 species